UGAAUAGAGUAUUGUCACAAACAAUACUCGUUUGGAUCUUGUAUCCAUCACAUACUAGACAAACAUGUUUCAGUCCAAUAAUUUGGUUUAGGCCAAAUAGGAUUUGGAAAUACUAAACAAUACUACCAUUUUGUUACAAAAUGAUGCAACAUAUGUAUAAAGUAGGUUAUCUCAAAUUCCCAAUGACUAACGUCUUUAUAGAUAUGGGAGUGAUUUUGGAGAGGCCAUUGCAAGCAGAAGAUCUCUCUCAUUCCCUUGUGGAAUCAUCUCGCAGAUCACGGCUUUCAGCUCCACGCUGUAUUUCUUCUUCAGAUGCUUCUCUAUCUCGCCCAUGUCCGCC
rnacentral:lncRNA from 1 species